UACGUAGGUGGCAAGCGUUGUCCGGAUUUAUUGGGCUUAAAGGGUGCGUAGGCGGCCUUGUAAGUCAGUGGUGAAAUCCUCCAGCUUAACUGGAGGGGUGCCAAUGAUACUGCAGGGCUUGAGUACAGAUGAGGUAGGCGGAAUUGACGGUGUAGCGGUGAAAUGCAUAGAUAUCGUCAAGAACACCGAUAGCGAAGGCAGCUUACUGGGCUGUAACUGACGCUGAGGCACGAAAGUGUGGGGAGCAAACAGG
rnacentral:rRNA from 1 species